UAGAUGCCGAAGUCCCGCUCAAAGUAUGAUCCUGAUAAGAGAGGGAUAGACUUUCAGCUUGAGCUAUGGAGACGAUAGGUGUAAGCGUAUGCUCAUGGCGUCCAAGUUUGCCGCCACAAUCACCGCCCAAUUUGAAAAGAUUUAGGGUUUCUAGCUCUUCUUCUCCACUCGCUUUCACUCCUACCCGCGAAAAUACCUUGUCUCUAAUUCACAAUUCUGGUGUGAUUGCUUGCCUUCGCGCCAAUAGUGCAGAGCUCGCAUUUGAAGCCGCCUCUGCUGCACUGAGAGGUGGAAUCUCAGUACUGGAGAUUGUGAUGUCCACCCCAGGUGUGUUUCAGGUUUUACAACAGCUGGUGCAGGAACAUCCUACAGUGGCCUUGGGAGUGGGUACACUUCUAAAUGUGGAGGAUGCUAUAAAGGCAAAGAGGGCAGGAGCCAAAUUUCUAAUGAGUCCUGCAAUGGUGAUGGGUAUUGUGGAUGUCAUCCAGGAUGGUGAAAUUCUGUACAUACCUGGUGCAAUGACACCAACAGAAUGCCUGCCCCUUUUCAAUUCAUGUAUUGGUGAUAGAACUCAUAUUGCAGUCUCCUACACUGUAUUGAUAAAUGGAGAUUUUGAGCCAUUUUCCUGUUAUCAUUUUAACCGGAACUUGUUUUUACAGAUACUGUCUGCUUAUGAUGCUGGUUCUAAAAUUGUUAAGGUCUAUCCAGUUUCUGCAUUAGGUGGUUUCCAGUAUAUAUCAGCACUGAAGAAACCGUUCCCUCACAUAUCUUUAGUUGCUUCUCAAGGCAUAAUGAUAGAUUCUAUAGGUGAUUAUAUAUCAUGUGGAGCAUCAUCAGUUGUUUUAUCUGAUGCCAUAUUUAAUAAAGAGGCGAUGGCUCAGCAAAAUUUCAACACAAUAUCUCAACUUGCAAGCGUUGCUGCUUUGCAGGGAAAAGAAGCUGUAUUACGGUGAGGUUUUAGCACGAUCUAUUUUAUAUGAAUAGCUACCAUCUCCACGUUUCAGCAAUAGUUUCGAUGCCCACCAAACAAGAAGAACAGAAGAUUACUGACUUAAUGAGACUGGUAAAUGCAUAUAAAGCUUAUGCUUUCAUUCCAUUGCUCUGGUUUUUAUGCCACAAUUUUUUAGUUGAAAUAUUCUUUUGAGUUGUUGCAUCUGCGGAGGGUAGAUAAAUUGUACUACUGUCAUAGUGAAACACAAUGCAUGGGGUGCUUUGGAUUUUAUAAAUUAGGUACAUAAAAAUAAGUUUAAAUGCUCAAAGUUCAAAUGCAAUUAUUUAUACUAGUUAUUUUUUUGUUGAUUUGCUCUAA